UGAUCCUGGCUCAGAUUGAACGCUGGCGGCAGGCCUAACACAUGCAAGUCGAGCGGUAGAGAGAAGCUUGCUUCUCUUGAGAGCGGCGGACGGGUGAGUAAUGCCUAGGAAUCUGCCUGGUAGUGGGGGAUAACGUUCGGAAACGGACGCUAAUACCGCAUACGUCCUACGGGAGAAAGCAGGGGACCUUCGGGCCUUGCGCUAUCAGAUGAGCCUAGGUCGGAUUAGCUAGUUGGUGGGGUAAUGGCUCACCAAGGCGACGAUCCGUAACUGGUCUGAGAGGAUGAUCAGUCACACUGGAACUGAGACACGGUCCAGACUCCUACGGGAGGCAGCAGUGGGGAAUAUUGGACAAUGGGCGAAAGCCUGAUCCAGCCAUGCCGCGUGUGUGAAGAAGGUCUUCGGAUUGUAAAGCACUUUAAGUUGGGAGGAAGGGUUGUAGAUUAAUACUCUGCAAUUUUGACGUUACCGACAGAAUAAGCACCGGCUAA
rnacentral:rRNA from 1 species